UGGGCCGAUUCUACACUGUGAGGAGUCAUCAUCAUCAUGUUGCAGCAGGUGCGAGCAAGGAUACUUCUGGGGCGCUGCUGCUUGUGAAGCAUUCCCUCCCCCACAUGCUGGAUGCCGUGACGUGAUCUGCAUGUCCCCCAGCAACGUCAGUUGUACCAGCUGUCAUCCGGGCUUCUACCUCAAGGGCAGCACCUGUUUGGAGGGCAGUGUAGCAGGCGAUACAACUGACCCAGAGGAAGCGUCAAACGUCAUCUACAUCGUAGUUGGAGCUGUAGGUGGUGCAGUUGCUGGCUGCUUCAUUACCGCCGUCAUCGUC